ACAUGAUAGAAGAAUAAUGUCCGUUCCUCAUGGAAUAAAACCACAUCUGCACUUUGUACCUCCAGGUUCUCCCACCCUCACACACGGCAGGAUCAGGAUCUCCAUCUCCAGCAGGAAUCCAGCCUGGAUUCCCUCUGGGAUCAGCACUUUGCCUUGCAUUUCUGUUGCUGGAAUGCAGAUCCUACCCCUGCAUGAGAAGUCACCAAUACCCUGACUGCUGGUUUUGAGGGCUGCAUCUCCUGAUCAGCAGUAAAACCCUCCAGGUGCUGUUUAUUAAGAGCAAGUGAACAACUCCUGAUGGUUCAGAACUGCAGCAAACUGAACAUUCCUAUUUGUUACUCAGCUCACCUUCACCACGGUCCCUCUGCUUUUCUCCAAUUCCGAGCAUGGAUCUGCAGCCACCUCCAACACCACUUCAGACAUCCAGCAGAGGAAGCGUUUUUAUCGUUGUUUUUAUAAUUGUUCCACACUCCUUUACAGCUGGAUCCCGGCUACACCUCAAGGAGACCAAAACAAAUGCAGUGAGAGGAUCAACAAUGACUCCUGAGUUCCAGAAGUCAAGAGUUCAACUCAGAGGAAGGAACUCGUCUGGUCUUCCUUGGAAGCUGGUGGUUUAAACAUGUUACACUGAAUUUUCUAGAAAUUGUGGCUGCAAAGUCUUCUGAACACCUGCAAUUCCCUCCUAGCAUCUUUUUUUUGGGUUCUGAUAAAAAAAUAAUUGAAUCCCACAAAUUUACUACCCACAGGUGACUUUGAGCCCUGAAAUCUCACUGCUACUCUGCACAAAUUAUUGAGGUCUAGACAUUGCAACCUGUGCAAUUUCUCCAUUUAAUUUAUUUUUGAUAAGCCUUUACCAUGCUACGUGAAUUCUCAUAUUCUCACAGACAAUUCAACAGAGUCACCCUGAAACAGCAAUGCUGAUUUUCUGAUUGGAAUCCAAAAUAAGUACAUAAUAUUCCCUGUUUAUAAGAGAGCUCAGCUACUCCCUGUGAGAUCAUUUUGCUAUGUUGAUACUUCAGUAAUUUUUUCAUUCAUCCCAUUUUUCAUUUAGGCCAUUUACUUUUUUUUUUCUUUUAAUAAUAACAUUUUAAGCCUUUUUCUCUUUAUUUUGUAUUGACUAAUCCCCAAACUCACUACUUAUAAUCUGUAUUUUUUAAAAUCAUUGCUUGCCUUUUUUUUUACAUUUGUCAACCAAGUAUUCAAAUGAAGGCCAAAUUCCCUUUGUCUUCCAUUAUCAUUCUAGAAUCAGCUUUGCUGUCAGGACUGUCAGUGUCAGGAAUAAUUCCACUACUCCUCCCAAAAACACUCCUGAACCCAGAUAAACCAGUACAUCAGAAACCCCUGCAAGACAGUUCUAAUAUCCAUUUUUCUUCUGUCCAGUUUCCCUAUUGAUCACCUCUAUUUUGGGCUUGAACAAAUGAAAUCACCUGGAUAUAAAAA